rnacentral:lncRNA from 1 species
UUUCCUCGUUGGCUUACGAGUCCUUUACAACGAUUUUUACUUACGUGGAAUUAACGAGUGUUAUGUUUAAAUCCCUAAAAUCCGAAACCCCAAACACUAUAUUCCUUAUUUUCUACUUCAUAUAUUCCAAACCCCAUCUUUAUUUCCAGUCCAAACCACAAUUCCCACAUUUGCCUAUUCAUAAAACAAACUCCCACAUUACCUUAUUUAUAAAACAAACCCCACAUUACCUUAUUCAUAAAACAAACUCCCACAU